rfam:Erinaceus europaeus unplaced genomic scaffold scaffold00538, whole genome shotgun sequence
CCAAAGGCUCUUUUCAGAGCCACCCACACGCAUCACUCGCAAGGAG